rnacentral:rRNA from 1 species
AGUGAACGCUGGCGGUAGGCCUAACACAUGCAAGUCGAACGGCAGCACAGUAAGAGCUUGCUCUUACGGGUGGCGAGUGGCGGACGGGUGAGGAAUACAUCGGAAUCUACUUUUUCGUGGGGGAUAACGUAGGGAAACUUACGCUAAUACCGCAUACGACCUACGGGUGAAAGCAGGGGAUCUUCGGACCUUGCGCGAUUGAAUGAGCCGAUGUCGGAUUAGCUAGUUGGCGGGGUAAAGGCCCACCAAGGCGACGAUCCGUAGCUGGUCUGAGAGGAUGAUAGCCCACCCGGGAACUGAGACACGGUCCAGACCCUCACGGGGGGAAGCGGUGGGAAAUUUUGGAAAAUGGGCGAAAGCCUGACCCACCCAUCCCGGGGGGGUGAAGAAGGCCUUCGGGUUGUAAAGCCCUUUUGUUGGGAAAAAAAAGCAGCAGGUUAAUACCCCGCUGUUCUGACGGUACCCAAAAAAAAAGCACCGGCUAACUUCGU